GCCUCCUCAGUCACGUGACCGAGCAAACCUGCUUUUGAUGGCAUGCCACACUGUGCUAGCUCGGGACACUGCAAAGCUGUUGUGUGACCUUUUCACGGCACGAGAUAUACUGAUUCAUGUUUAAGUCACUCGCAUGCAAGGAGGUGCACCUACCGACUCCCAUUGCCUUAUCUCAGAACAACCGGUGUGCACUGGCCUCAAUCCAGCAUUGUAGGGCCCAUCCAGGUUCUUGUGAAAAGGUCUACAGCUGUGCAUGGUUUCUCUGGUUUCUCAAGAAAAAAGAAAAGAUGAGCAGGAAUGUAAGCAAGAUUGAGCUCUCUAUAUUAGUCGGUACUGAUUCCUUGCUCUAGCCACUGCCAGAAUACGCAUACUCCAUGGGCUCGGAUAUUCUACAAAAGUUGUAUGUUUAAUGCUGCCACACUUCCUGUUUCAUUUUCAUGGCUAUGUUGGGAUUCUGAAUUCAAAAGAAGCUGAAGCAGUAUUGAUGUCAGAGUUCUUUAUGCUUCUAAUUAUGAAUAGCCAACAUUUUUGUCUUAAUUAUUGUAUUCUUGUCACAGUUUAGUACAUGAAUAUGUAACAGCACACCAUGCUGCAAGUCAUUGUGUCAUGGUACAUUCUAUAUACAAAUGACAAAAUAAGGAAAACGCAAGAUCUUAUGUAGCAGCAAUGUCUCUCUGUGCAAUGUUAACUGAUUGCAAUAUAUUAAAUUUGGUCACAUUGGUAAAAAGGUGAACAUUAACCAAGCACUGUGCUACUAUGUAUUAUGGCUGUCGUUUUAACAAAAAAGAAAAGAAUGGUUGAGCUCUUCCGUGUAACCUCUGAAGCUCAGUGUUGCUGCACAUCGAUAUAGUGUUCUCUUCAGGAGUUCACAUUAUCUUGAUUAAUAUUGCACAUUUAAUGCAAUGGCAUUAAACUAGGAAGGCAAAGUUUCAAUGCCACAUCCUUGCAAUUUAAGAUCGUGAUCUUGGUACAGUGUUACAAACGCCGCGGUGAACUUGCUGGAUGGCUCAAAAUUUUAGCCCAUUAUAUUUUUGUGACAUAUUCACUGGCCAGUGUUCAUCUAUGCUGCUUAUCUAAGGCAGAACGAGAAAUAUGGUGUUUAUUUUAAAUUGACCGUUCACAUUGUUUUAUUAACCUUACCUGUGUAAAAUGCGAGUUCACAAAGAGAUGCUGUUGAAGAUAGGAUUUUGCUUUGCAGUCACAAUUCUGUACCCUCAAGCAAGCUUGCAUGUUCACUGCCCCUCUGUGAUUGUUGCACUACCAUUAAUCUGCCAUUUUUUGUAUGACUAGUUCUUGUUGCAUUACUUGAGAACACAUUUAUCUUUUGCAUUCAUGCACUGUCAACAUGCAUGCAAUUUUCACUUAUAAAAAAUGCUGCAUUAACAAGGCCACCCUAUUUGAAUGGCUCUUCUCAGUAACCUGCUUACUCCUUUUCGCUCCCAAUUUCACGCAUAAGUGUCGUUGUAUCGUACAUAGCCUUUAAAACAUUGUUUGGAUGCAAUACUUGCCUGCUUCAUCCAUAAUGAGCCGGAAUCACGUGUUGACUGUAGUGACAGCAAAUCAGAUGUUCUCAGUGAAAGUAACGGAUGUGCCAUCUGUUCCAAGGGAGGUGGAAAUUUCACCAAGGAAAUUGAUUUUUAGUUCCGGCGUCGUUGUAGAUGACGUGUGCCUCUUUGUCGGUGUAACAUCAUGGCAGACAACUUCUGACCUUUACUUCUACGUAAUUGAACCUGGAUGGAAGAGGCAAGUACUGCAUCCAAACGUGGCAUUAGUACUAAAUGGCAAAACCAUGACGCUGGCUUGACACUUGAUGAGAAAUGAGUUGGCAGCUUAGCUGGAAGAGUCAUUUGUACAGGGCUCCCAAAUACGUAUUCUCCACCUAACCAGUUCUGUGCGGUGCACUGAAAGCUAUGCGUUACGUCAGCCAAUGAGAAAAGAGACCCCGAAGAAGGGAUACACCAUUGUCCGCCCCUGACCGUUCUCCGCAGGACGUCGACUGAAUGGAAGCAUCGCGGAAGAGUCAGUUGCAUGCAAUGGGCAAGCCCUUCUUUAAAACACACAGCUAAUCUUUACUUAUUGGCUGACCUAGGCUUGGCUCCGCCGUGCCUGGCUCUUUUUCAGUGCACCGUACGAAGUUGGUGAGAUAGAAUAUAGAUGCAACAUUCGGCGCAUGUGCCACACAUGCAUGCAUGUUGUUGUUAUUGCAUGUUUUAGUUAAGCUUGCUGUACUGAUUUUCUUUUUAAUAACUGCUGAUCUAGUUUUGUACGUGAACCAUUUGCCGGUUGAAACUUCCCUGGCUAUUGCUGCUUUUUCUUUUCUCAGUGGGUAUCAUUAUUGGCUGUUUUGUAACAAACAUUUUUGCAGUGCACGCAUUUUGUGUCUGGUUUUGGAACCUGUUUGGUGCGUGUGUAAUGUUUAAUGCACUUGUUUUUAACAAACCUGCACAUGGUGUUCUGUUCACUGUGGGCACUAUUUUACCGCUAAUAAUUUGUAGCUUCCUGUCAUGUCGUUACUGGCUGAAGGUGGAGAUCUGUGAUAUUUCGAAAGAAUUCUAAUGUAUGUGUGUUUUUUAAAAUAGUCUUCCUCUUUAUGACCAAUGUGCUUGCUUUGCAUGGUGCAUUGUAUCAGUGCACAGUUUUCUUGAGUUAUACCUGUACACAACCUUUGCUGUAUGGAAAUCCUCGCUAGAGUCCUUGUGCUUAUGAGAGCAUGUGUUUUCUUUUGUUUUGUUUUUUUGUUUUUACCUUGCAUGAUGCUGCAUUACAAAGUUAUAUGCAGUGCAUGGACCCCUGCACCUGUCGAGCUUUUGUUUUGCUUUGAUUGGCAAUAAAGCUGGUGCGAUAUGAAA